rnacentral:rRNA from 1 species
UACGGAGGGGGCUAGCGUUGUUCGGAAUUACUGGGCGUAAAGCGCACGUAGGCGGCUUUGUAAGUUAGAGGUGAAAGCCCGGAGCUCAACUCCGGAACUGCCUUUAAGACUGCAUCGCUUGAACGUCGGAGAGGUAAGUGGAAUUCCGAGUGUAGAGGUGAAAUUCGUAGAUAUUCGGAAGAACACCAGUGGCGAAGGCGACUUACUGGACCGGUAUUGACGCUGAGGCGCGAAAGCCAGGGGAGCAAACGGG